ensembl:lncRNA
GGGAAUAAACAGCUUAUAUUAUGAUGUGUGUGUCGACAUGCUCAGUUGUGGCCAUCUCUUUGCAACCCCGUGGACUGUAGCCCUCCAGGCUCCUCUGUCCCUGAGAUUCUCCAGGCAAGAACACUGGAGCGGGUUGCCAUUUCCUCCUCCCGAGGAUCUUCCCGAUCCAGGGAUCGAACCUGUGUCUCCUGCAUUGGCAGGCGGAUUCUUUACCACUGAGCCACCUGGGAAGCCCCUGUAUUAUGAAAGAGAUCUGGAUCCAGAGAAUCUUCAGAGAAGCCUGAACGGCUCCUGCCAAGACAUCGAUUUAACAAUCUGGACUGUUUUCUUUAAUCUGUGAAUCUGGAGUUUGGCGUCCGCGUUUGGACAGAAUCAAAAUGCUUUCCUUUGAUAGAAAGCAAGUGAGCAAGCACAUCCUAUGAGGCUGGAGAGCCUG